rnacentral:misc_RNA from 1 species
AAAAAAAAUUAAAUAUAAAUAAAUAAAUAAAAAGGUAUUAAUUUCACAUACUAGCAAAUCCAUUUUAUAUUAUAUUUUUUCAAAAAAUAAAAAGACAAAGAAAGCAACAGUUUUAAAUGGAUCCAAAAACAUUAUAUCUUCUUUACCCCGUUUGGUGGCCGAUGAAACGCAGCAAUCAUACAAAGAAAAAAUCCGACUACUACAUUUAGAUCAAAAUAAACUGAGUCAAGCUCGUUAAAAAUUCAGGAAGCCGGAAAAAAAAUCCAAGCUUUCAUUUUCCCUUCCCAUGCCCCCUCUUUAUAAGAAACCAAACAGCAAAAAAAUCAAGCAAUCAGCUACGACAAACGUACAAAAUACGUUGACAUUUUCCCAUACGAUCACAUACUUUCUAUUAAGAAAAAAAAAGAACGUACA